CAUCUUACUAGACAGUGCUGGAUAUUUUGGAUCUACUCUAACACUGUCUGGUAACGAUGUU
rnacentral:pre_miRNA from 1 species